CUUGCAUAAAAACAUAAAAGUUGAAACAUCAAACGGAAGGGUGUUCUCCUGACUCCCGAAUUCUUUUCGUCUUGAAUUUCGACUUUUUCAUCUAGUUCAGGCUGUUCAGCAAUAGCAGGGUCUUCAGUGAAAGACAGAGCAUCCAUGCUCUUCACGACAUAUGUCAACAGUGCUCCUGAUACGAGAAGAAAAAGGAUGUGCAGGGUGAGCAGGUCGUUGCAUCUGAGGGCAAUUCCGCACAUAAUUUAUGGAGCAGAGAAGAGCAUCUCUGCUCUGCAUGGCAAUAGGCUAAACAUUUGACACAUUCAACACAAGCCUUGCACGCACCAUCCUUCAUAUGGCAGUUCCAGCGGCAGAGAAUGAUAGUGCAGUGGAGAAAGAAGAGGCAAUCAAGACAACCAUAGACCUCACCUAUAUGUUCCGUUCACAAGCUUC